CCUACGGGUGGCAGCAGUGAGGAAUAUUGGUCAAUGGCCGGAAGGCUGAACCAGCCAUGCCGCGUGAAGGUCAGUGCCCUAUGGGCGUUAAACUUCUUUUGUGCGGGAGCAAUAAUGGUCACGUGUGGCCAGACGAGAGUACCGUACGAAUAAGCAUCGGCUAACUCCGUGCCAGCAGCCGCGGUAAUACGGGGGAUGCAAGCGUUAUCCGGAUUUAUUGGGUUUAAAGGGUGCGUAGGCUGUGAGGUAAGUCAGUUGUGAAAGUUUGCGGCUCAACCGUAAAAUUGCAAUUGAUACUGGCAGCAUGGAGUACAGUUGAGGUAGGCGGAAUUCGUGGUGUAGCGGUGAAAUGCUUAGAUAUCACGAAGAACUCCGAUUGCGAAGGCAGCUUACUAAACUGCAACUGACAUUGAUGCUCGAAAGUGUGGGUAUCAAACAGGAUUAGAUACCCGAGUAGUC
rnacentral:rRNA from 1 species